UUUAUUGGAGAGUUUGAUCCUGGCUCAGGACGAACGCUGGCGGCGUGCCUAAUACAUGCAAGUCGAGCGGACAGAUG
rnacentral:rRNA from 1 species